rnacentral:rRNA from 1 species
ACUAGGGCUAAGUCGUAACAAGGUAGCCGUACCGGAAGGUGCGGCUGGAACACCUCCUUUCUAGAGC